GCCCUCUAGACUUGCAAUGUGCCCUGGAGGGGUACCAAAUGAACUCUAUCAUCUACCACACAGGUAUGGAUCAAGGGACUGUGGCUUUGCAGUUGAUGACAGCGAGUUAAGUGCUUUUCCUGAGUCAAGGCUGACAACACAAUUAUGUGGUGAUAAAAACAUCCAGGAAUAUCUAGAAUUUGUAAUGGAACACAAUCAGUUACAGUGGCCAGAGAAUUGGGAGGAAGCAUUACAACUUUACUUCACAAUGAAGGAAA